CGCUGCCCUUGAGCGGGCCUGCGCCGCCGUGAGGGAAGAGUUGCUGCCAGUGCUGCAGGGGCUGCUGCGCUUGGCCGCUGCCGCGUCCUGGCUCCUUGGUUCCACGCUCUGGCAGCCUCCCGGCUGGACACGUGGGUUUUACGACAGCACAAAAUAGUUUUCUGAACCUGGGAAACGUGCUGUUCAGACUUCAUCCGGGUCUCAUUCAGGAUGCUUCGAUGUUGGUUAGAACAGAGUUAGACCGAAAAUGUUUUGACUGGCGUCGUUAUGACAAGGUCAUCCGUCAUUGUUGGAUAGAUUGAUAGCACCCAAGUUUAAGGCAGACACCACGAGGGAAAGCCCACGGCGCUGUGGUCCCGGAGGCUAACCAGGCAGUGUCCGCAGACCUCCAGCAACUCCAUCGGGAGGAGAGGAUGAAGUUCCAGGCCCGUUUCAAUUAAUCUGCUCGCAGAACUGCCGAAGAGUGGCUUGUCGGGCCACGGGAGAAGAAACAAAUGCUCUUUCUCACACUCUCCUGGUUCAUUGCUGAGAAACCAGGACACUCCUCUGUUCCCUGGGAGAGACAGUGAACUCCAGGGAUGGAAGUCCGGACUCCGGCGGUCCCGUCAUUUGCCUUCUUCUUUCUGCCCAAACCCAGCUAGUUCCAAGCGCUUGGUCCCCAAGACUGGAAGGCCACCAUUAGAAAGUCUCUGGAUUUUGAAAUGCUAGUUGCAGCAGCUGCUUCCGUGGCCUCAUGCCGCCCACACUCUGGGAAGCGGAGGAGGGAGGGUUCCUCUCGUAAUAAG
rnacentral:lncRNA from 1 species